rnacentral:tmRNA from 1 species
GGGGGCGACCAGGUUUCGACGUGGUCGAUUCUCCGGCUGAGCUGCAGGUCGAGGUCCCCGGUCGGCCUCGUAAAACAACCGGGAAACCAACGUAAGUGCGGAUACUGAUCUCGCACUCGCCGCCUAAGUAAUUAGGUGACGCGUCGCUCCGGAUUCGGCCCGUGGUUCGGGUAGCGGCGUCAUAAACGGGCUGGCCCCGAUGGAACGCCAAUCGCCGGAGGGGUGAGACAACAGGAUGGCUGGCCCGGCGGUAGGUCGCUCACCCACCGGCCGUCCGGGCGAGAUCAAAUGGUGAGCUAAACCUGUAGAAGCUCUGUCCGGUGCGGCCGCGGACGCGGGUUCGAUUCCCGCCGCCUCCAUUU